rnacentral:lncRNA from 1 species
AAAAAUUGUUCAGUACAACCAAAGUUCAUUACAAUAGUACACUCUACUUCUUCUUUCGUUCAACUUUAUUUCUCUCAUUCUUUGGCGGUGGACCCUUCCUUCUUGCAAGUCUGCCGGUAACCUCAGUCUCACUGAUUGAACCAUCAUUUAGCUUUUUUGUGGCGUAGUCCUACAACAGAACUCCAUAACGUCUACGGUGUUUGUCAAUAUCAGUAAGAUCUUCCUUUGGUAUAGACAAAUACA